rnacentral:rRNA from 1 species
GACGAACGCUGGCGGCGUGCUUAACACAUGCAAGUCGAACGGAAAGGCCCUGCUUUUGUGGGGUGCUCGAGUGGCGAACGGGUGAGUAACACGUGAGUAACCUGCCCUUGACUUUGGGAUAACUUCAGGAAACUGGGGCUAAUACCGGAUAGGAGCUCCUGCUGCAUGGUGGGGGUUGGACAGUUUCGGCGGUUGGGGAUGGACUCGCGGCUUAUCAGCUUGUUGGUGGGGUAGUGGCUUACCAAGGCUUUGACGGGUAGCCGGCCUGAGAGGGUGACCGGCCACAAUGGGACUGAGAUACGGCCCAGACGCCUACGGUAGGCAGCAGUGGGGAAUAUUGCACAAUGGGCGGAAGCCUGAUGCAGCAACGCCGCGUGCGGGAUGACGGCCUUCGGGUUGUAAACCGCUUUCGCCUGUGACGAAGCGUGAGUGACGGUAAUGGGUAAAGAAGCACCGGCUAACUACGUG